CAGCCAUCUCGGGUGGAUUGUUGCGCCGCCCUCGGACCGCCUCGUCCUGGCUACAAAGGCGGACCGACCCUCUCCUGAUUCCUCUCCCAUAACUCAUCCGAUCGCCACGUUCAACCAAGAGAGAGUGUGAAAUUCGUCGGUAGCAGAGAGGAGGGAAGGAGACCGCCGCGCUCGAUUUCCCUUGUCGCCGACGGUCGAUACGCGGGAGGGGUCUCGGAGGACUUGUCUUCGUGCGAGGAUCGCGCACACUCGACUUCUCAAACGCGGAAGGCACUGGACACCGGAGAAUCGUUCGCCGGAGCACCAAGGUCCGCCGCGGACUUCGUUUUCCCGCGGGCAGUGCUCUGCAUCACGCUGUCUUUGGUAUGAAAACCUCCCCUAUGCUCACCAUGUCCUUAUAA
rnacentral:lncRNA from 7 species